rnacentral:rRNA from 1 species
UGGGGAAUAUUGGACAAUGGGCGCAAGCCUGAUCCAGCAAUGCCGCGUGUGUGAAGAAGGCCUGCGGGUUGUAAAGCACUUUCAGUGGGGAGGAAGGCCUCGGCGUUAAUAUCGUCGAGGAUUGACGUUACCUACAGAAGAAGCACCGGCUAACUCUGUGCCAGCAGCCGCGGUAAUACAGAGGGUGCAAGCGUUAAUCGGAAUUACUGGGCGUAAAGCGUGCGCAGGCGGUUUUGUAAGACAGAUGUGAAAUCCCCGGGCUUAACCUGGGAACUGCGUUUGUGACUGCAAGGCUGGAGUACGGCAGAGGGGGGUGGAAUUCCACGUGUAGCAGUGAAAUGCGUAGAGAUGUGGAGGAACACCGAUGGCGAAGGCAGCCCCCUGGGCCUGUACUGACGCUCAUGCACGAAAGCGUGGGGAGCAAAC